AAGAGCGCCUCAUGCGGCGCGAAGGGACAAGUGCUGCAAAAUCUGUUUUUCUACCAGAUUUUAUUGAAACUGCAGUGGGUUUGUUCAUCUUACUAUUACUGCCUUUCCUGCACAGACUGGUGACCUUUGACCCCUAUGGAGUCAGUGAGUCUGAUGAACUCCUCAGCACUGUCCAAUGACACCAGCCGGUCCUGAGAGGAUGGAGGCACACGACAGGAAGAGAACGGGCAGAUGCAGAUGAUACAAUGAGGAGGGAGGAAGCAAAGGAAGACAAAAUGAAACGCGUGGAGGGGGGAACAGGGACGUGUGGUCCAGCAGCUGUUUCAACAGGUCAGAGGCUCUGUUGAGCUGCUCCUGGUCUGGACCGGGCCGGAUCUGUCUGUGCACAUGGAGCAGGGCGUCCGCCUCGCGCUGGUAAC